rnacentral:snRNA from 1 species
GCAUGUAAAGGCAGUCUGGCUGCAACAUCUGUCACCCCACUGUUCACCAGGAUUGAUUCGACUGAUUGGUCUAGCUAGGUAGGUCCUUCUUCUCCCUCAUUACUCCAUUUGUGAACCCCCNAAAGCUGUGCACCCAGUGGAAGAGGGCAACCACCCCAGAUAAAAGGAGUGUAUCAUUCUUCAGGUAUAUUAUAGCAGUGCUGCCCUGCUAGAACUUCUAAACGAACAACAAAGGGACUUUUCCUGGACCCAUACAAUUAGUUUGUGCUCAUUUUUUGUAAAUAGAAGAAGAAGCAGCUAUAUUCCCUU